GUUUCUGCUUGGUUUCAAUGAGAUGAUGAUUAACAUGUAAUCUGUAGGCUAUCUGGUAAGGGAAAACACAUCUUUGCCAUCUUUUCCGUUUGGAGCCAGGACCUUCAUAAUAAGGAGUGCGUGUGUUGCUGUUCACGCUCUGGAAACAGCCCCAGCUACUAUGAGUAGCACUGAGUGGUAGAUAUGUGGGCUAACGUUAGCUACUUUUCCUAAAUGUGCUAACAGGGCAGGUUUCAUAAUCAAGUAACAUUAAACUUACUGAAAUAUUGCAACAACAGUGCAACUUAGUGCGAGUUCCAGAGUCGGGGAGAGCAGCAGUGCCUUCCAUUCACGGCAGGGAGAGCCCUCCAGUUUUCCAUUUUGUUUCUCUCCACCAUUUCUUUUGGGAAAAGAAAAGGUAAUGAAGAUGUUCCUCACUGCAAACGAAACCACGAUGAUCAUCAACAGCAGCAUCAUUCUUCACUUCUUUCUCACUGACUGGAGGAAAGAGAUCUCUCACAGGGAAAAAAAAAACUGAAGACAGCAUCGGGAUGGGCUGAGAGUGGCUCCUCUAACCUUGGAGAAAAAGUUUGUAUGAGGUGAAGUUUUUGAGAUGACACUCAAAAAAACUAAAAACAGACCUUUUGUAUCCUCAGGUUUAUGAUUUGCUGUAUGCAGCGGCAUCAUUUCAAGGGUUAGGGUUAAGAUGUGAUUCUCCUCAAGAUGUUGCUGCACUUUAUUUGCAUUUCUUUGUGUCAUACAUUGAUGAAGUUGGUGAAGUCUUGACCAUGACCAUGUACCAUCCUUUGAGUGGCCUGUGUUUGAAGAUGAAAUGGUUUUCUCUUUGCAGGGCUGAAAUCAGGACCAAUUAAAUUGAGUCUAAGACCGUUGAGGUCAAGUCAAGAUGGUAACUGACUUGUAUUAUUUGGUUUAUUGAACCUCAAAUAAUAACAUUACAUGUAGAUUCAUUCAGGACAGGACACUGGAUUUAAACAUUGAUGGGAUCAUGAUAUCAUCAGUGGUGGAGUGUAUAGAGAACUAUGCCAGUAGGGGGACUGCCAUUUGGAAAUGUACUGUCAACAAAUUCUGGUGAUUUCAGUCAAAGUGAGCAUGCUGUUUAUAUAAACAGACAACACUGCUGGAAAUGAAAUAAAUUCAUUAACUGAAAUGGA